GGCCGCGGGAAUUCGAUUAGAGUUUGAUCCUGGCUCAGGACGAACGCUGGCGGCGCGCCUUAACACAUGCAAGUCGAGCGAGAACCAGUCCUUCGGGGCUGGGGACAGCGGCGAACGGGUGAGUAACACGUGAGUAAUCCACCCUCGGUACCGGAAUAGCCCGGGGAAACCCGGAUUAAUGCCGGAUGGCCCAUCUGUUCUUCGGAAUUUGAUGGAAAAGGUAGCUUCGGCCUCUGACCGGGGACGAGCUCGCGGCGGAUUAGCUUGUUGGCGGGGUAAAGGCCCACCAAGGCGACGAUCGGUAGCUGGUCUGAGAGGACGAUCAGCCACACUGGGAUUGAGAACGGCCCAGACUCCUACGGGGGGCAGCAGUGAGGAAUUUUCCGCAAUGGAGGCAACUCUGACGGAGCAACGCCGCGUGCAUGAGGACGGCCUUCGGGUUGUAAACUGCUUUUACCAGGGAAGAGCGUCGGACGGUACCUGGUGAACAAGCCCCGGCUAACUACGUGCCAGCAGCCGCGGUAAUACGUAGGGGGNCAGCGUUGUCCGGAGUUACUGGGCGUANAGGGCACGCAGGCGGUGCGGUCAGUUUGCGGGGACAGUGAACGGCUUAACUGCUCCAGAGACGCCAAGACUGGCGAACUGGAUAGCCAGAGAAGGGACUGGAACUCCGGGUGUGACGGUGAAAUGCGUAUAGAUCGGGAAGAACACCCUGGGCGUAGGCAGGUCCGGGCCCGUAUCUGAACCCUGAGGUCUAAAGCUAGGGGAACGACCGGAUUAAAUCCCCCGUAUUCUUACCCCCUACCGAUGCUCUUAAAUUGGAAAGGGUUCACCCCUGCGC
rnacentral:rRNA from 1 species